rnacentral:lncRNA from 1 species
GUGUCUUAAAAUGUGUAUUUAGGCACAGCCGGUCCCAAGCCCGGAUAAAGGAGGAGGGCUAUCGUAAAGAUGCAAUGCGUAAGAGUUUCGGGUCUGGUCUUGUUGUCUCGUGUGAAUAUUAUAGUUCUCUCACAUGCUGGUUACUUGCCAGGGGCUUUUUGUUUUGGGCUUAAUAACUUGCUAGUCCUUGUGUAUUAUCAGUUCACAAAUUUAAUUCAUGUCUUUUCAAUUUAGUGAAUUUGCCUACGCAUUUGUUUCCACAAGCUAAUGUACUACAUUUCGUCUGGUUGGCAUUGGAGAAGGCACUAUGUGUGGCUAGGUUCUAUUUAUGGGUAGAUGUUUGGUGGCGAGGACGAGACAAAAUUGGGGUUGAGUUCAGUCUAGUCCAGUCCAAUCUAGUUCGACAAAGUUCCAUUCUUGGAGAGGAGAUUUGUUGUCCCUUUCAAUUCUCACAAAAUGAAAAAUCUUUCAACCAUAGUUUUAUUGAAUCUUGUGAGUUAUCCAAUUCAGUCCUAGGCACCAAAUGUGGCCACUAAGAAAUUCCAAGCAUGAAGUGCUUAUAAAUUCUAUUCCUUUAUUUGGUAUGUUUAAUUAGUGAUGGGAGUAAUAUAGUAUUAAAAAAAACCUAGUAAACCAUAACUAUAAGAGGUGCAUACCUAAGAAAGAAAUUCCCCCAAUAGAGUAUGGAAUAUUCAUGUUACAUGAACCACAUUUUCAAGAAUGUAUUUAAAAUUAUGAAAUUUUGUAUCUUCAAGUGAGAGUGUUAUUAAAGA